rnacentral:rRNA from 1 species
UACGUAGGGGGCUAGCGUUGUCCGGAAUCAUUGGGCGUAAAGAGCGUGUAGGCGGCCCGGUAAGUCCGCUGUAAAAGUCAAAGGCUCAACCUUUGAAUGUCAGUGGAUACUGCCGGGCUAGAGUCCGGAAGAGGCGAGUGGAACUCCUGGUGUAGCGGUGGAAUGCGCAGAUAUCAGGAAGAACACCGGUGGCGAAGGUGGAUCUCUGGGCCUUACCUGACGCUCAGGCGCGAAAGCUAGGGGAGCGAACAGG